UACGUAGGUGGCAAGCGUUUAUCCGGAAUUAUUGGGCGUAAAGCGCGCGCAGGCGGUCCUUUAAGUCUGAUGUGAAAGCCCACGGCUCAACCGUGGAGGGUCAUUGGAAACUGGGGGACUUGAGUGCAGAAGAGGAGAGCGGAAUUCCACGUGUAGCGGUGAAAUGCGUAGAGAUGUGGAGGAACACCAGUGGCGAAGGCGGCUCUCUGGUCUGUAACUGACGCUGAGGCGCGAAAGCGUGGGGAGCAAACAGG
rnacentral:rRNA from 1 species